rnacentral:rRNA from 1 species
GUGGGGAAUAUUGCGCAAUGGGGGAAACCCUGACGCAGCAAUACCGCGUGAGUGAAGAAGGUUUUCGGAUCGUAAAACUCUUUUAUUGGGGAAGAAGAAGUGACGGUACCCAAUGAAGAAGUCCCGGCUAACUACGUGCCAGCAGCCGCGGUAAUACGUAGGGGACAAGCGUUGUCCGGAAUCACUGGGCGUAAAGGGCGCGUAGGCGGGUUUAUAAGUCAGAUGUGAAAGGUACCGGCUCAACCGGUGACGUGCAUUUGAAACUGUAAGACUUGAGUACUGGAGAGGCAAGUGGAAUUCCUAGUGUAGCGGUGAAAUGCGUAGAUAUUAGGAGGAACACCGGUGGCGAAGGCGGCUUGCUGGACAGAUACUGACGCUGAGGUGCGAAAGCGUGGGGAGCGAACAGGAUUAGAAACCCCAGUAGUCC